ACACCAUCAACAUGUCUAGGAUCAGGUGGUGAUGUAAUCUACACCAUCAACAUGUCUAGGAUCAGGUGUUGUAAUCUACACCAUCAACAUGUCUAGGAUCAGGUGGUGAUGUAAUCUACACCAUCAACAUGUCUAGGAUCAGGUGGUGUUGUAAUCUACACCAUCAACAUGUCUAGGAUCAGGUGGUGAUGUAAUCUACACCAUCAACAUGUCUAGGAUCAGGUGGUGUAAUCUACACCAUCAACAUGUCUAGGAUCAGGUGAUAUAAUCUACACCAUCAACAUGUCUAGGAUCAGGUGGUGAUGUAAUCUACACCAUCAACAUGUCUAGGAUCAGGUGAUGUAAUCUACACCAUCAACAUGUCUAGGAUCAGGUGAUGUAAUGAACGUCAGAUAAAUGAACUAUACACUUCUUAUUACUCUUCAUCCUCAUCAUGGCACAAUACAAAGUCUGAGAAAACAUGGCCACAGAAAUACACAACAAUGUCCUCAAUCACAAUGUCACAUUUCUUUGAAGAUUAAAAUGUAACUAAGUCUUCUGGCAAAAAAAUAAUUAAAACACGAUAGUUUUACUCAGUGGUCAAAACAACAUCAAAGACUUCUCUCCAACCCCCCCCCCCAAAAACAAAACAAAAAUUAGGACACGAUAUGUUGUUAGUCAAUCUAGUCAAUCUUUCACUGCCUUUUAAUACAAAAAUAAGAGAGACAAAUAUAAAUUAAUAUAUAUUAAAAGAGUCAAGCAGGUACAUGGGUCAGACAGGUUGUCACAAGAGAGGAGAGGAGGCACUGAGGGGUUUAACCUAAUUACUACCUUAACAAAACUACACAAUCUACGUGUGUGUGUGUGUGUGUGUGUGUGUGUGUGUGUGUUUUGGGUGGAGGUUGUCACAGGAGAGGAGAGGAGACACGGGGCUGUGGGGUUUAACCUAAUUACUACCUUAACAAAACUACACCAUCUACGUGUGUGUGUGUUGUGUGGAUGAAAGGGUUCCCUCCGUCUCCCCCCUGACCUGAGACCAGAACACCUCCCCCCGGUGGUGAGUGUGUAGUACUACGGUUAAUAGGGGGACUCCUACAACACAGGAAACAGGAAGAACACAACAGGAAGUGGUCGUCCGUCAGUGGGGAACCCCGUUCGUCUUCAUGAGUCUUGUUGAGUUUUUAAGUCUUUUUUCUCCGUUUGAUAAUAAAAAUAAGUCAUUUUUUUUGUUGUAUUUUACAAUAUAAUUCAACAUCUCCUCUGAGGCAGUGAGCCCACAGUCCAGCGCUGGCAAUAUUUUUGUUGUUGUAGUUUCUUUGUUUCGUCUUGACUUUUUUGGGGGGGGUUUACAAAAAGAAGAGGGAUGAGGUCAGAGGAGGAGAGGGGAGGGGGAUGAGGUCGGAGGAGGAGAGGGGAGGGGGAUGAG
ensembl:lncRNA